rnacentral:lncRNA from 1 species
GGACACCUCUCCUUGAAGAACUUGGAAUAAUCAGUGGGACCGCAACCCGCAGCACCGGUGCUACAACAGUACUGAGUCGUAUUGAAAACCGUGCACGGGUUGUUGCAGCCGCCGGGAACCUGAAGCUGAGUGGGACACUCUCCGAUGAUGUCGGCGGCGCAUUUCACGGAGCUGCAGUUGUAGGUCGGGCUCACCUGCAAGGGAAUGUUGAAACCGUCGACGAGGGAGAUGUCGUAGAAGUCGAGGUUGUUGUACUGGUUCAACGCGAAUUCCACCAACGUGUUCGGAGGUGUACCUGUUUUGUUGCACUCAAGAACACCGUCGCAGUCGCCG